rnacentral:rRNA from 1 species
UGAGAGUUCAAGAGGGCGUGAAACCGCUUAGAAGCAAACAGAUGGAACUGAUGAAGAGUCGGCGUUACUCAGCCUACUGUGUCCACCUCGGCCCCGGUGCCGGAUGUCUCACUGGUUGCUGGGUGUCCGGUGUGGCCAGUGGGUGCACUUUUCGCCGAUGCGCACUGGAAGCCGUGCGUGCGCUGGAGUGAAGGUGGGGAAUGCCGGCCGAGUUCUGUUGGUGUCCCUUCCCCGCUGGAAGCCGGGUUGCGCGUACGGUGUAGAACGGGAGCACCCGCCUCUACUCGAGGGCGCNGUGUGUCUGGCUCGGUUGGGUGUUUGUUGCUUGCAACUUGCAGCCGGCCGCGGCCUUGCACCUUGUGCCUGUCGAGUCGGUGCUAUUCCGGUGUUUGUGUCAGCCACCCAUCUGACCCGUCUUGAAACACGGACCAAGGAGUCUAACAUGUGCGCGAGUCAUUGGGUGGUGAAACCUAAAGGCGCAAUGAAAGUGAAGUCUAGUUCGGCUGGAUGAUAUGGGAUCCUUUCCUUCCGGGGAGAGGCGCACCAUAGUCCCGUCCGAUCUGCUUGUCAGAUGGGCGGAGAUAGAGCGUACAUGCUGGGACCCGAAAGAUGGUGAACUAUGCCUGAGCAGGAUGAAGCCAGAGGAAACUCUGGUGGAGGUCCGUAGCGAUUCUGACGUGCA